rnacentral:rRNA from 1 species
AACGAACGCUGCGGCGGGCUUAACACAUGCAAGUCGAGCGCCCCGCAAGGGGAGCGGCAGACGGGUGAGUAACGCGUGGGAAUCUACCCAACUCUACGGAAUAACUCAGGGAAACUUGUGCUAAUACCGUAUGCGCCCUUCGGGGGAAAGAUUUAUCGGAGUUGGAUGAGCCCGCGUUGGAUUAGCUAGUUGGUGGGGUA